rnacentral:rRNA from 1 species
AUUGAACGCUGGCGGCAGGCCUAACACAUGCAAGUCGAGCGGUAGCACAGGAGAGCUUGCUCUCUGGGUGACGAGCGGCGGACGGGUGAGUAAUGUCUGGGAAACUGCCUGAUGGAGGGGGAUAACUACUGGAAACGGUAGCUAAUACCGCAUAACGUCUUCGGACCAAAGUGGGGGACCUUCGGGCCUCACGCCAUCAGAUGUGCCCAGAUGGGAUUAGCUAGUAGGUGGGGUAAUGGCUCACCUAGGCAACGAUCCCUAGCUGGUCUGAGAGGAUGACCAGCCACACUGGAACUGAGACACGGUCCAGACUCCUACGGGAGGCAGCAGUGGGGAAUAUUGCACAAUGGGCGCAAGCCUGAUGCAGCCAUGCCGCGUGUGUGAAGAAGGCCUUCGGGUUGUAAAGCACUCUCAGCGAGGAGGAAGGGUUCAGUGUUAAUAGCACUGUUCAUUGACGUUACUCGCAGAAGAAGCACCGGCUAACUCCGUGCCAGCAGCCGCGGUAAUACGGAGGGUGCAAGCGUUAAUCGGAAUUACUGGGCGUAAAGCGCACGCAGGCGGUUUGUUAAGUCAGAUGUGAAAUCCCCGCGCUUAACGUGGGAACUGCAUUUGAAACUGGCAAGCUAGAGUCUUGUAGAGGGGGGUAGAAUUCCAGGUGUAGCGGUGAAAUGCGUAGAGAUCUGGAGGAAUACCGGUGGCGAAGGCGGCCCCCUGGACAAAGACUGACGCUCAGGUGCGAAAGCGUGGGGAGCAAACAGG